CACUCCUGCGGGAGGCAGCAGUGGGGAAUUUUGGACAAUGGGCGAAAGCCUGAUCCAGCAAUGCCGCGUGAGUGAAGAAGGCCUUCGGGUUGUAAAGCUCUUUUGUCAGGGAAGAAACGGUGAAAGCUAAUAUCUUUUGCUAAUGACGGUACCUUAAGAAUAAGCACCGGCUAACUACGUGCCAGCAGCCGCGGUAAUACGUAGGGUGCAAGCGUUAAUCGGAAUUACUGGGCGUAAAUCGUGCGCAGGCGGUUUUGUAAGUCUGAUGUGAAAUCCCCGGGCUCAACCUGGGAAUUGCAUUGGAGACUGCAAGGCUAGAAUCUGGCAGAGGGGGGUAGAAUUCCACGUGUAGCAGUGAAAUGCGUAGAUAUGUGGAGGAACACCGAUGGCGAAGGCAGCCCCCUGGGUCAAGAUUGACGCUCAUGCACGAAAGCGUGGGGAGCAAACAGGAUUAGAUACCCCUGGUAGUCCC
rnacentral:rRNA from 1 species